rnacentral:rRNA from 1 species
UAGUCCACGCCGUAAACGAUGUUAACUCGCUGUUGGCGAUAUACUGUCAGCGGCCAAGCGAAAGCGUUAAGUUAACCACCUGGGGAGUACGCCCGCAAGGGUGAAACUCAAAGGAAUUGACGGGGGCCCGCACAAGCGGUGGAGCAUGUGGCUUAAUUCGAUGCAACGCGAAGAACCUUACCUGGGCUUGACAUACUAACCCUCCUUUGGAGGGGUGUUAGCGAAAGCUACUUUAAAGAUACAGGUGCUGCAUGGCUGUCGUCAGCUCGUGCCGUGAGGUGUUGGGUUAAGUCCCGCAACGAGCGCAACCCUUGUCGUUAGUUGCCAUCAGACAGUGAUGUGCUGGGCACUCUAACGAGACUGCCGGUGAUAAGCCGGAGGAAGGUGGGGAUGACGUCAAGUCAGUAUGGUCCUUAUGCCCAGGGCUGCACACGUGCUACAAUGGACAGUACAAUGGGUCGCCAAACCGCGAGGUGGAGCCAAUCCCCAAAACUGUCCCCAGUUCGGAUUG